rnacentral:rRNA from 1 species
CAGGACGAACGCUGGCGGCGUGCCUAAUACAUGCAAGUCGAACGGUCUUUCUAUGGAAGCUUGCUUCCACUGAGAAGAUAGUGGCGAACGGGUGAGUAACACGUGGGUAACCUGCCCAUAAGAGGGGGAUAACAUCCGGAAACGGGUGCUAAUGCCGCAUAGUUUUCUUGAUCGCAUGAUCGGGAAAGGAAAGACGGCCUUUGUGCUGUCGCUUAUGGAUGGACCCGCGGCGUAUUAGUUAGUUGGUGAGGUAACGGCUCACCAAGACGAUGAUACGUAGCCGACCUGAGAGGGUGAUCGGCCACAUUGGGACUGAGACACGGCCCAAACUCCUACGGGAGGCAGCAGUAGGGAAUCUUCCGCAAUGGACGAAAGUCUGACGGAGCAACGCCGCGUGAGUGAAGAAAAGGUUUUCGGAUCGUAAAACUCUGUUGUCAGAGAAGAACAAGUUGGAGAGUAACUGCUCCAGCCUUGACGGUAUCUGACCAGAAAGCCACGGCUAACUACGUGCCAGCAGCGGC